rnacentral:tRNA from 1 species
GUAGAGCGUUGGACUUUAAUUCCAACGGUCAAGGGUUCAAGUCCCUUAUCGGGUU